rnacentral:misc_RNA from 1 species
AGUAAAUACAAAUAGUUACUUAGUAUUUUCUUACUUGGUUUUAAUUUUUAUCUAAACUCACCGUUGUUUCUUACUGAGAACCUAAAAACUUACAUGAAAAUGCAUUUUAGAAAAUUGUAAUGACUUUGUAUAAUCGCCAAUAUAUUGGGUUUACAUUUGCUGCCAAUUACUGUUAUUUUUAAGAAUUCAUAAUUUGUCGAUUUAUGUUUUAUGUGCACAUUAUUAUAAAUUCAAUUUAAUUAUUCUUGAUUAAUAAAUUACAAUAAAAUAUUUUUAAAUAUUUUAUUUACUAUAGGAAGAGGUGUUAGCAACAUUUAAUUAUUUUUUCAUUAAAGGCUUCAAGCUGGUGGAAGCGUUCUUUUCUUUUUCAAUAGACAUGAUAGUAACAUUGUGUAUUCUUGUUUGGCCCAAUUGACUUAGCUAUUGUAUUUAUCACCUUUUGAAUGAGCAACUUCUACAGCUGCAAUUAAACAGAAGAAAACAUUUUUGAAUCGAGGAGGUUGUACUCUGCAGGUAUAUCUUGUUGCAUAGAUCCAGCUUCAAAAUUUCGACUGAAAAAAGGUUCUGACCACGAGUUGCUACUCAGUUCUUAAAUCAAUGGCAUACUGACCUGAUAAUUCUUUUAGGCUCCUGUUAUUAAAAAAUGUAUCACAUUAAAUAUAGAGAAUAAAACCUUUUCUGAAGCUCAUUUAUCAUUUUAUACGGACAGGGGAAAGUUGUAUGAUCUUUCAAACUCUCAGUUUGGCCUAGACAUGUCCCUAAAACAUUAUACAUUAUUGCACAAUAUGUAUACAUGUCAAUUUCUACAAAUGAUCAAGAGCAACUCAAUUUCAUAUUUAAGUAACAAGGUAUCAAAAAGCGUCAUGGAGUAAUCACCUUUCCUGUCCUUUUUUCAAAUUCUUGAAUAUCUAAGUUAAAAUUUGUGAUUCUGAAGAAUACAGACUUCAUGCAAAUAAAAAUAGGACAAAGGUUUCGGAGCAUUCUUUAAUUGCUUGUUAUAGCCCCAAAAAGUUUGAUUGAAUUGUGAAUUUCCCCCAUGUUAUCUUCAGUGUUAGUAUAUAUUGUACGUAAUAAAUGUGUUUCCUUAUAAAAUUGGGCUUAAUUAAAAAUAUAUAAUGUAUGUCAAACAAAUGACAAUUGUUUAAUACUUAAACAUUCAAUUUAAAUAAACUUAUGUAUUUUUGGAAAUUGUUAGCAUUUGAAGUAUUAAAGUUUUAAUUUACUAGAUGCACUUUAUUAACAUAGAUUGUAAAACAUAAUAAUGUAAGAGAAAUCAGCAUUUUGUGGUGGAUACCUGAAUAGUUAAUAUCAUUACUAUUUUAUUUUUGAAGAGAGAAUACAAAAGUAUAAAUUAAUCACUAAAACAUGAGAGUCGAAAAGUAAUAAGAGUUAUAAGUGUAAGAAAAACAUUAGUGAACACUUAUCUCAGCGACACUCAAUAUUUUUUAGUAGGAGUGCACUCCUUAUUUUAGAAGAGCAUUAAAAUCGCUCAAUUUUUCGUAAAUUUAUAUUAAAAAAAAUUUAUUUUUUCUGUUUCAACUUCUUACGGGAUACCCUCAAAAAAUGGAGAGAUAAAGAAUAAUUUUAAAGAUUAAAAGAAAAGACAGUUGAAGUUAAAUCUCAAGAUAAGCUAGAAUCUUUUUCUCCAUCCUGUGUGUGUGCUCAGCUGUUUUCGGCUGACGAGUUUGUUUCUCAUCUAGCUGGCCACCUCAAGAAAACUCAGAUAUGGGUUCCCUAGAGACUCCACCAGCUCCUUCCUGUGUGUAUAUACCAUUGAAAAAAAAAAAUUUUUUUUUUUAAACGAAUAUUCCCAAUAUAAAUACAAUUUUUUAUGAAUUAAAUUGACAUAAGAUCUCAAAAUCUCACUUAAGCAUAAGUUCUAACGAAGAAACCAACUUGUUCUCCAGACCCAGGAAUCUAGUCUGAUCAGACUAAAAUUUAGGCCUCGGUACGUAACUUUGAAUUUUGAACAACUUUGAAUUUAUGUUUUAAGUAUGUAACUAUAUUUGUUUUUGAAAUUUGGUACUUUAAAAUUUAAAUGAAACAAUUUAAUAUAUUAUAAAAGAGACUAAUAAAAAGAAGUUAUUUCCGCCACGUCGUACUUGAUGAAAUCAUCUUCCGUUGGGUGUUAGUCAUUUUUAUUAUUUGAAAUUUUUAGUUUUACGAAGGGCCAAUUAUUCCUACGUGUAGAGGUUUAGAAUCAGUGGAUAACUAAAUCUUCAUCUCUCUGGUCGUUGUAUUCUUUAGACGUUGAUGGGUGUUGAUUACUUCUUGAAGUUAUUCAACUCGAAAUCGAAGAUCCCUACUUUGGGCAAACGAAGGAAUCAGGCGGGAUGUUGUUGACAUCCUCGACACGGACCGACCGUGGUUGAAUUUGUCGUGUUAAUUAUACAGAAAGGGGUGUAAUUAAUUUUGAAACAAAGAGCCAAAAUGACUCAUCCAUCUCCCUCCCUUCUUGUUUUUUAAUCUAAUUACUAAAAGUGUUAUAAUAUAAUGACACGUUAAAUCAUAUCACUUUAUUUCCUUCACGCCAAUCAUUUUUUGUCAUAACUUAAUUAUUAAAUCAAGUGUAUUUUAUUUUGUUGUCAGUGUAUUUAUAUCACUUAAAGUAAUGAAAACUGACAUAAACAAUGGUGGAAGUAUAAUUUUAAUUUAAUGAAUCAUCCUUGAUGUGAGUAGAUAUUUAAAUAUCACUUGAAAGCCUUUUGAUAAAGUAACAAGUUGUUCCAUGCAUAUAAUUUACUCAAAAGAUAGCAAGAAAAUUACAUUAUGGGUAUAAAUUCCCAUAAUAAUAAUUGGCCAUUUUUAUUGAUUAUAUACAUGUAAUAAUGAAAUAAUUUAGAGAGCGGAUCCUGAAAGGAAUUUAUUCUAUUUAUAAUAAUAAUAUUCAGUUCAUUAUUAUCCAAGAAAAAACCUUCACUGGGCAAAAAUGUAACAGGGCAAAAACGUUUAAGACAAAUACGUACAAGGUAGAAACAUAAAAGGCAAAAAUUGGGGAAAGCUUAUCUUUCUGACACGCCUUAUAUCUAAUUAGUUUAACUUAAUAAUUGAAAAACUAAACUUGAUUUGAAACAAGAAUUACGAUUUAUGGUUUAUUAAUGAGGAUCAUAAAUUAACUCAUGCAAUUUGUAUCUAGAGAUAGCCACAUAUAUCAUGGAAUUACCCAUAUAUAGUAAUGGUAAUCGAAUGUAUUUUAGCAUGAUAAAAAAAAAGAAACUGAAAAUCAACAAGGUAGCCCUUACAAUUUGAAGAAUAUCUUGGAGUAGAGUAGCUAAACUGUCAUGACCUUUCAUUAUAGCAGCUACAAUCAGCUGUGAUAAUGGAAGAGGGUGAGAAGGAAAAUACAAAGUACAUUGUAAAGAAUGACUCAGAUGUCGAUCCUCAAUUCUACUCUGUGUGCAAUAAGGGCAUACCAUUAUAACCUUGUAAUAAAUCCUCACGUUAUUUUCCGUUUUUAUGAGCCUACAUGGUGUUCAAUAAGGUUUUGGAAAUAUCAGAAAAAUAGGUUCACUACCUAGGAGUUACAUAAUGACUACAGGUGAGGAAAAGAAAAUUAAUUCUUCAGAUGACUAAUUCCAAAAAAGCGGGGAGGCUAAAAAAUAUAGACGAUUUACCUAAGUACCCAUAUAUAUAUUAUUUCUUAUCUUUUAAAAAACUUGUCCUAACGAAUAAAACUUGGAUGUAUAAAUGAAUUUAGAUUAAUAUUAUAACAAUAAGUAGGAUGUUGUUUUAAACUUAAAUUGUAAUAUAAGGUCUACCCAGGUGCUUUGGAACUGUAGUUUUAGGUACACCAUUGAUCAGAAAUAUAUUCUUAUGUAUAGCCUUUUCUCCAAAAGUUUGUAUCUUUUUUAGUUCAGUCUCUGCACAAAGGUCCACCUAAUACUUUGAGUCGUUAAAAAGGAGGGAUUUCUUCUUUAUAAAAAUAUUGCCAUUUAGAUAUGUUCAAAACGCUAUGAUAACUUUAGAAAACAAAAUGUCUAGUGAUAACAUGUUAGUUUUAAGACAAGAAGCCGAAGCACUAUCACAUCCUCAGAAUGGCGUUUGCUGCAGCUCGAAUGAUUAUGCCCAAAGAUAAAAGCCGGAAAACAUCAGAAGAUAUUUUCAACUCAUUACACAAAAACAAGAGCAUAGGAGGGACGUCUACACCUACAUUCCUAUCAAAAUAUGAACAAAGUAAAUAUGAUGCAAAGCCCCCGAGUUCAAGAGGUCAUAUAAAACAUAUUAAAGGAUCAAAAGGAAAAAAAACCAAAUUGAAUAGAAUGGAAAUGUAUGACCUCAUUGUUAAUAUUGAUUUGAAUGACUGGCAAUUAACAAGUGAACAAGUUAAUGAGUUUAAAGAAGUAUUUAAGCUAUUCGACAAAGAUGAAGAUGGUGUUUUAACUUUUUCUGAAUUAAAUAUUGUCAUGAAAAGCUUGGGGCAAAGACCAAAGGAAGAGGAACUGCUAAAAAUGGUACGAGAUGUAUCCGAAGAUCCUAUAUAUGACACAAUAGAAUUCAAUGAAUUUUUACAAAUGAUGUCAAAGCAACAAAAAUAUGGACUAGAUGAAGAAUCAAUAAAAGAAGCGUUCAAGAUCUUUGACAAAGACAAUGAUGGUUAUAUUUCGGUUGAUGAACUCAGAAAUAUAAUGCAGAGUCUUGGUGAAAAAAUGGCUCAACCUGAACUAGAUGAAAUGGUUCAAGUAGCGGAUUUAGACGAUGAUGGAUUAAUAAAUUACGAAGAUUUUGUCCAUGUUCUUUGUAGUGAAGGAAAAUCUAAUAGCGGGAAAAAAAGAAUGAAAAUGAAGAAAACUUUCUAACAUCAUUGAAAGAUAAUUACUUAAAAAAUAUUUUGGAGGGACCAUAUAUGAGAGUCAAAAGUAAUCUAACACAAGAGUUGAAAACAUCAAGUACAAUCAAAGAAAAGUAUUUUCAUUGCGAGUAAAUGGACAGCCAGAAUAAAAAUAUAAAGGUCCAAUUUAUGUAAUAAGCUACAUAAAAAAAUUGUAUUAAUUUUUGUACCAUAUAAUCAAAUAAUUACUGAACUUAGAUAAUUAAAUAAGCAUAUUUAAAUAGAA